ACAUUUUUUAUUAUAUUAUAAUAAAUAUAGUCUGCUCAAUGAUUUACUAUAAUUAAAUAGCCGCAAUAUCUGUGCUAAGGUAGCAUAAUCAUUUGUUUUUUAAUUAAAAACUAGAAUGAAAGGCUUAACAUUUAAGUUCCUUUAUUAAUUUUAAGUUAUUAACUUAUACUAAAUAUAAAAAUAUAUUUAUAAUAAAAAAAGACGACAAGACCCUAUUAAAUUUUACUUAUUGUUAAGCUGGGGAAGCUUAUUAAAAAUAAUUUUAAUACAAUUCAAGUAAAUAUCUAAUAUAAUUAGAUUAUAAACAAAUUACUAUAGGGAUAACAGCGUUAUCCUAUUUUAAAGUUCAUAUUUAUAAUAGUAAUUGCGACCUCGAUGUUGAAUUAUAUUUCUUUUAAUUAACGCAACAGUUAUAAUAGUAGGUCUGUUCGACCUUUAAAAUAUUACAUGAUCUG
rnacentral:rRNA from 1 species